UACAGAGGUCUCAAGCGUUGUUCGGAUUCAUUGGACGUAAAGGGUGCGUAGGUGGCGCGGUAAGUCGGGUGUGAAAUUUCGGAGCUUAACUCCGAAACUGCAUUCGAUACUGCCGUGCUUGAGGACUGGAGAGGAGACUGGAAUUUACGGUGUAGCAGUGAAAUGCGUAGAGAUCGUAAGGAAGACCAGUGGCGAAGGCGGGUCUCUGGACAGUUCCUGACACUGAGGCACGAAGGCCAGGGGAGCAAACGGG
rnacentral:rRNA from 1 species